GUGAACGCUGGCGGUAGGCCUAACACAUGCAAGUCGAACGGCAGCACAGUAAGAGCUUGCUCUUACGGGUGGCGAGUGGCGAACGGGUGAGGAAUACAUCGGAAUCUACUUUUUCGUGGGGGAUAACGUAGGGAAACUUACGCUAAUACCGCAUACGACCUACGGGUGAAAGCAGGGGAUCUUCGGACCUUGCGCGAUUGAAUGAGCCGAUGUCGGAUUAGCUAGUUGGCGGGGUAAAGGCCCACCAAGGCGACGAUCCGUAGCUGGUCUGAGAGGAUGAUCAGCCACACUGGAACUGAGACACGGUCCAGACUCCUACGGGAGGCAGCAGUGGGGAAUAUUGGACAAUGGGCGCAAGCCUGAUCCAGCCAUACCGCGUGGGUGAAGAAGGCCUUCGGGUUGUAAAGCCCUUUUGUUGGGAAAGAAAAGCAGCAGGUUAAUACCCCGCUGUUCUGACGGUACCCAAAGAAUAAGCACCGGCUAACUUCGUG
rnacentral:rRNA from 1 species